UUCUGCUCUUAAAUUUCAUCAGUAGUUUCUUUGUUGCCUGAUACUAAAUUCCAUUGACUGGAAAAGCAGAUUGUCCAUGUGAAAAGUUUAACAUUCGAUAUGCAGCUAUUAGGGGCAUCCCUAGAAAUCUCACCGAUUGGAUGGAUGCUGUCUGAAAAUUGAUGGAUUUGGUCUGAAAAUUUUUGUCCUUUCGUAGGAAGUUUAACGUAUUUAUACUCAUAAUUAGAACAGUGCUCGCCGGUGAAAAUAAAAAUACAGGCACGAAAUGAUUGCAACCAGCAGGGACAAAAGGAAUAGGAUGGGAGCCAGACCACAGGUAUCCAGGAAUAUUCACAAUGUAGGGAGCUUAAAAAGGAGUUUUCAUUACUUCAGCAGAUAAGAUGGAUGCCGAGUCUGCGCAUGGCGGGGUACUGCACAAUGUCAAGGAUGAGUGGGAUGAUUUUCGUGAUAGAAACUGAGAGGAUCAGAA